rnacentral:lncRNA from 13 species
GUUCACAGUUUUCAAGGCUUUCGUGGGCAGUUUUCCUUUGAAAACAACUCCAAAUUGGCUUCCUCAGAUGGGCCCACAUCUGGUCCCUAGGAAAACAAAUCUUUAGUAGGAAGCAGCUUUCUCUCAACAGCUUUCCUUCUCUUUUGUCUGCCAGCUCAAAUCAAUCAAACAUCAUUAGAACUUGCCUGUAGAAGUCAAACACCUGUUCACGCCUUUCAACUCCAGAGAAGAGGGAGCCAAGCUUUCUGAACAUGUGCAGUGCUCCUCCUUUCAGAUGCUCUGCUUCUCUCAAAAUGGACACUGACCAGCAUCUGCAGAGAAUUCCUUUAUAGAGAUCUCUCCAGUCAAUUCUCACUGCAGUUUAGUGGGAAGCAACAUACGGCAGAACACAUUUUAUAAUUUUUCAGCAUGCCCUUCCGGCAAGGUUUCACACACACUUCAGACUUUAGGAGGUAUUACUUUUAAGCUGUUUUAUAAAUUAUUUCUAUAUAUUUAAGUGAUGCAAUUGGAAUUUUGUUACCUGGAUAUAUUGUGUAGUGUUGAAAUCUGGACUUGUAUUGUAACCAUCACCCAAAUAAUGAGGCCAUAAGAAACUGGGUGAAAUAUGUCACAGGAUCAUCUAUAACAAACAGAAUCAAGAGGAGUAUCAUCAAUUGGAAAGCUAGCAGCUGGCUGCCUCUUCAUCUAGAAAACUCAGCCUGCCCUGUCACAGGAAAAAUGGCUCCAAGCUGCCUUGUGUAUUCCAGUAAAUGUGUGUUUACCUGUGAAACAGAAGUCUUCAAAAUAAUGAGUUAGAUAGACAAGCUUAACAGACUAUGCAUAUGAUAGACAAUCUGGCCACU